rnacentral:lncRNA from 1 species
AAAGGAGCUGUCCUGGAGAGCUGACAUCGCUCACCCAUGCCCCUGCAAAGCUCUCUACCUACGCUUCCCCACUUUGCUUUUUCCAGCAAUUCAGACAAGCAAUCUCAUAAAGUGUUGGGGCUGCCUUUAGGUUGUAGUUAAAAAUUUCCAGCAGAUUGGUCACACAUCCUAUGAUAAACAAUAGCCUCCUAUGAGCUGUGAUAUCUUACGUUUGCAAGCCAGUGUGUGCAUGUGUGUGGAAAAAAAUCACCGGUUAUGCUGAGCAACGCUGCCCGACCACAGGGCCAUUUCUGCAGAAUUCUCUUUCCUGGGGCCAUCCCCCUUCAGAUCUCUCUCAAGAUAAUGACCGACGGUGUUAACAGCAGGGUCAAGAGUUAGGACUGUCCUUCCUGAAUAUCCCACCUGUCCUACCCGAAGACAUCACCAUCCCAACUCCAGAGGAAAAUGCCCUUGAGUUUCUAUAUCGUUUUGCCAUCAAAAUACAUCCACACUGACAAGCCUGCUUAGACCAGUGCUCCUAAGUGUUCCUGUCUUGAUGGAUUAGCUUGGCCAGGACAAGUUUACACAUCACUGGAGAAGUGUGAAGAGGGAGUGCGGAUGGAAAAAAAAUAGAGACACAAGAAGAGGUUUAUAAUGUUUGAAAUUAGGCAGCCCAGCCCGGAACUUUCCAUAAAAACUUUCUCCUG